UCGACCUAUACGUACGGAUAUUUUAGAUUAUGAGCAGACUAUAUAGAAUUGCAUAGGUAUUAUAUACGUUCUUCUGAAAUAUUUUAAGUCAGUCUCACGUGCACAUCAAUCACCCGUACCAACGUUUCCAUCACUAUAUAUAAACGAUAAUCGUUAAUCUAUAUUUGGGUCGCAUUCCUGGCAUUAAAGAUACCGUGUAUAAGUGUCCAAGUCGUUUGCAGAUUAUUUCGUUCGAGUUCAAUAAAGCUAAAUUUCGCACAAUUAUUAUUGCAGAUAUUCAACGUUGCACUCGCAAUAUUGUAACGGUCACAUUUACGCGAAGUUCUCGGAAUCCACAUCCGCAAAUACUGUAUUUCGGAUGUGACUGCGAUUUACGUUUAUGUGUACCUAAAUGUUCGUUAAUUCUACUUGAUUUUUGCGUUUUCACAGCUUUGAUUAUUUAUCUUGAAUCUCAGAACGUCGGAGUGACGGGU